rnacentral:rRNA from 1 species
GUAGGUGGCAAGCGUUGUCCGGAAUUAUUGGGCGUAAAGCGCGCGCAGGGCGGUCCUUUAAGUCUGAUGUGAAAGCCCACGGCUCAACCGUGGAGGGUCAUUGGAAACUGGGGGACUUGAGUACAGAAGAGGAAAGCGGAAUUCCAAGUGUAGCGGUGAAAUGCGUAGAGAUUUGGAGGAACACCAGUGGCGAAGGCGGCUUUCUGGUCUGUAACUGACGCUGAGGCGCGAAAGCGUGGGGAGCAAACAGGAUUAGAUACCCUGGUAGUCCACGCCGUAAACGAUGAGUGCUAAGCGUUAGGGGGUUUCCGCCCCUUAGUGCUGCAGCUAACGCAUUAAGCACUCCGCCUGGGGAGUACGGCCGCAAGGCUG